rnacentral:rRNA from 1 species
GUGGGGAAUUUUGCACAAUGGGCGCAAGCCUGAUGCAGCAACGCCGCGUGUGUGAUGAAGGUCUUCGGAUCGUAAAGCACUUUCGACCGGGACGAAACACCCUCACCCAACACGUGAGGGCCUGACGGUACCGGGAGAAGAAGCACCGGCUAACUCUGUGCCAGCAGCCGCGGUAAUACAGAGGGUGCAAGCGUUGUUCGGAAUUAUUGGGCGUAAAGCGCGUGUAGGCGGCAUAGCAAGUCGGGUGUGAAAGCCCUCGGCUCAACCGAGGAAGUGCGCCCGAAACUGCUGUGCUUGAGUACCGGAGAGGGUAGCGGAAUUCCCCAAGUAGAGGUGAAAUUCGUAGAUAUGGGGAGGAACACCGGUGGCGAAGGCGGCUACCUGGACGGUCACUGACGCUGAGACGCGAAAGCGUGGGUAGCAAACAGGAUUAGAUACCCCAGUAGUCC